CCAGCUGACCCUGGUAUUUUUAGCUCUGGAAUGCUCCUCCCAAGCCCCCUUCACUUCUGUUUAUCAUGCUUUUGAGUCUUUGUUUCCCUCUGGAAAUUCUGCAUCUGCAGCAGAGAUGGGUGGAGUGGGGAAGAAUGGGGGGAGACAGGGCUGGGCUUUGGAAGUGGUGGGAGCUGCUCCCUCUCUCUUUCCAUCCCAACCCCCACCCCAACCUGGAGGCUGCCUUUUCCUCCUUUCUACAUUUAAGCUGGGGAAAUGGAGAGAGUUGGAGAAACCUCAGCCCUCGAGGGGUUAUUGUCCACUGUCCCCAGCCCCGGCCUUAGGUGGCCUGCCGUUCUUCUCACCUUUCCUUCCUCCUGUAGGCUGGGCAGGAGGGAUGGCCCUCCACCCUUUGUCCCUGGGUCAGGACAUACUGCCAGUCUCUUGAAGGAACUCCUGGGCUGAAAUGAAUAACAGGAGCAGCUGAUCUGGGGACAGAGAAUGGGCAUGAUCUCCGGAGCUUGAUUUAGUGACCUUCUGCCUUGGUUUCUUCCUCUGUAAAAUGGGAACGACUGGAGUCCCUUCUGUCUGAGGGAACUUUUGGAGGCUGCAGGAGAAGAAGCUGCUCUGUAGGGUCAGCCUAUGCAGCCACAUCUGCCAGGGUGCCUGUGCUCACUGUCAUGAGUGUUCUGGGGUCUUUUCUUUUGGGCUCUGCUUUAGUCACUGCCAGACCAAAGAAAGUUCUGCUCUGGGCUUUGGUGACAGUGAGUGUCACCUUCUUCUCUUCCUCCCACCUCACAUAUGGGGUACAGUUCUGCACUAAUGCUGGCUAUAAGGGACUCCUUUAGUGCACUGUAAUCACCUCCUGCCAACUCCCAGUCACAGACCCCAGACCUCAAGGCCACUGAUAGGGGGUGGACCACUAUAGCUGGACAGGUGAUGAGUGUAACUGACAUUCCCUGUUGUGACUUCCUGCCUGGGUGGACAUGUUGUCCUUUCCCAUUCUGUUCUUUAAGCUCAUCCGUCCUCAUGGAGGGCCUGGCCUUGCCUGGAGAUGGAAACUGGGAAGAGACUGAGGCAGCCAGCGUUCACCUUGGUCAUCCUACUGUUGAAGGGAUAGCAGGGAUAUUCUGGCCACUGAUGUGGCCAGUGUAUCAGUCCAAAACUGCUCAUGUUCCAGGCUCAGAGGCAGCCCUGGGGCAGGGGGCCCUGUACCAGCGCAGGUGGGCAUGCCUGGGUCCGCCCUGGGUAGAGGUAGGGCCAUGAGGAAAGCCGUGGGGAUAACCACUAUCCCCUGAGGCCACCUAGAGAUGGACAAGAGGUGGCAGCUGCUGUAUCCCGAGAAAGGCACUGACCUUUAGAACAGGAGACAGAAAUAGCCCAGGGAGAACAAGAUCCUGUGUGGGAACAAUGUCCAGGCCCUGCAGAGCAGGCCCAAAAUGAAGGAGGGAGGAAGACACUGCAGCAGCAACUGCAAUGCCAGGUACCCAGCCAGCCCUGCUACCUGCCUUCUUCCCCUAUUUCCCAACUCUAGCCUUUGGGGUGGGCAUUGCCUCCAUUUUACAGGGGAGGAAGCCAAGGCCCAGAAAGACACAGCCAAGCCUGUAACAGCAGAGCUGGGACUGAGCCAGACCUAGCUGGUCUGACAGUGCUGUUAGUUGCAUCCCUCUUCUCCUGCCCUUUUGGGGUGUGGAGUGGGCUGAGUGAAGCUAUACUCAAGGCUGGCUUGGAGGCCCUGAAAGGUCAACCUCAGCUACUGCUGUCUAUCAAGUGACCCAGGGCCCUUGACCUUGCUCAAGAAAGAGGAUUAGCAGUUGUCCUGUCACUUCCCCCUAACUCAGGCUCACGGCUGAGUAGAGCCCUGGAAACCUGUCCCCUGAGGCCAUGGCAAAGACAAACUGCUCCCUAGUUCAGGCUGAGGUCUUCUAUGUGAGAAUAACAGGGACAAAAUAAGGCUGCAUGGAGAUGGGCUGGCUGGUUUCUCCCCCUCCCUCUGCGGCUCCCAGCCUCAGAAGCUCCAGCUGUUUCUGCUUAUCUGAAGCCUGGGAGGCUGGUUGCCUGGAUACCAGUGCUGCUGAUUAGCAGACAGAGCUGCUGCAUACCCAGCUAGAGCAUCCCUAGGCAGUUGGGCAUGGAUUCUCUAGGCCCCAGCUCUUGGGAAGGUGGUAAGGGAAGAUGGGGACAGGGUGGGGCCCACUCCCCCUUGCCAGGAGAUGUUUCUAAGGGAUGAUUUGCAGCUAGAGAAAUGGAACCUUGUCUUCUACUUGCUGUGUGACCUUGGUCACAUUUAACUUUUCUGAGCUGUUUAUCCCGGAAGAGGUGAUAAAUAACGCCCACCUCAAAGAGCUGUUUACAGAAUGAGUGUGAUGUUUAGGGUCACCACAGAGCACAGUGACUCCAUGAUCAUAACCCCUUGCCCCCACUAGCACAGCUGGGCCCCAUCUAGAAUCUUCUGCAUGUGUGCAACAGGGAAGCUGAGGCAGGCCUCUGGGGAGCCUCAGAGGCAGUGGCACCUCAGCUCCCACUUCUCCCAUUUCCUUGCUGCAGGGAGGGGACUGUGACAUAUGCAUGGGACCCCCGGGGCUUGGCUGGGAGAUAGGGGCAAACCCAGAGAUGGGCUGGGGAAGAUUGGUCAAGAGAGCAGGCCAUAGAUCACACUAGGAGGUAAAAGGAGAGCAGGGUUGGCAUCCACCCACUGUGAAUGUCUCAGCCUAUCUUCCUUUCUUGACCACAGGAGAAGCAACUGGCCUACAGGUGAAAGGCCAGGGAUGGGAACAAACAUGGUCCAGCAUUGCAGACUGCCCAAGGUGAUCUGUCACCAGCCCUGAGAUGCCCAGGUACAUUCCCUUUGUGUUGACUGCAGCUGGGGGAAGGAAACAGAGAAGGCUGCCCUUGGCUGAGGACAAGGAUCUGCGUGACGUCUUCUUUGACCUUGAGAGUGCUUCUGCUGGCCCCACCUCACAGUUGACUCUGCUGGAACUUUCCCCUUUGGCACUGUCUGCCCAAUAGCAGCUUUCAGACAUCUCCAAAGGCAUCGUGGGCCACUGCAUUUUCUCACAAUGAGUCAAACUCUCAUCUGAGGCCUGGAAGACAGGAUGACUGGUGGGGGAAGGGGGAAGAGGAUGCCAUUGGGCUGAAGCAUGGAGGAGAGCAGCCUGCCGGGGCUGCUGGUCUGAGUUCUUGAGCCCUGCUAACACCACUGUCAACAUCAAUGUAUGGCAUAUGCCAGGGUCUUGCUCUUGGUCUGCCCUUAUUUGAGAUGAGUGCUGCAUUUCUCUCGUGUUCUGAUUUAAGAGCCUUGACUCCUCUUUCAUUCUAACUGCUGUGUGACAGUGGGCAAGUCAGUUCACCUCUCUGGACCCCAGCAUGUGACAUGACAGACUGAUCAAAGAAUCAUGCCACCUGCUUUGGCAUUUAAUGAGAAGAGGUGGUGGUUUUCUGGACUUUGGCCACUUCCAAUUUCUCUUCCCCUUUUCCUUUAAGAUCAAACAAAUGAACAUGUUGCUUCUUCUUCUUCUUUUUUUUUUUUUGGUGGGACUGGGGUUUGAACCCAGAGCGUCAAGCUUGCAAAACAGUUGUUUUCCUGUUUGAGCCAUGCCUCCAGUCCUGCUUGUUCUUUUUAUAUAUUUAAUACAUAUCCACUGAAGUAAAGAAACAAAAGGGCUACAUUAAAAAUCAUCACCCAAGCCAGGCACCAGGGACUCACAUCUGCAAUCCUAGCUACGCAGGAGGCAGAGAUCAGGAGGACCGAGGUUCGAAGCCAGCCUAGGCAAAUAGUUCAUGAGCUCCUAUCUGGAAAAAACCCCGUCACAAAAAAGGACUGGUGGCAUGGCUCAAGGUGUAGACCUUGGGUUCAAGCCCCAGUGCCGCAACGAAAAAAUCAUCACCCCAAAACAAUCACUGUCAGCAUUGUUUAUUAUUCUCUCUCUCCUUGUUUACUCUUCUGGCAGAUGCUGAGGAUUUAUCUGUGACAAGAAGACAGGGUUUCUACCCUUUUGGUGCCUCCAUGUCAGUGGGAAAAAGUCUACAUAAUUGCUAACACCUAUGACAACUGAGCUACAGCUUUCUGGCUAUGCAGCUCUCCCCUCUCCAUCUCUAUUGCCAUUGAUUUUCUCUUGAGAAUCCUACUUCUUCUUGUGCACAUUUCUGCUUUGGUUGGAAAGGUACAGUGCAUCAUGGGAAAGGAGGCUCACAUCCAGGUCAGCUUUAAGCUAGGACCUGGCCCCCAUCCUCAACAGAGGCAGGAUUUGCUUGAGCCCUUGUCUAGGGGCUCCAGGCUGUUUGUGUCCCAUAUCUUCUAUCAUUAAGUCCUUAUCCCAGUGGCUAGAAAGAAGGGGCCCUGCAGAAGCACCUGCUGGGCUGAGAGAAACAUCUAGCCUCGUGGUUUCUACCCAACCAGCAGCCAGAACCUGGCUUGCUCCCGUGGUAUUUGGAACCUCCAAUAGCCCUUUCCUUGCACCCCAAAUGUUGUGAAGAAGGAGGAGGUAGCUGAGGAAGGAAGGAAAAAGUGAGAGAGGAGAAGGAGGGGAGAACCAGCCUGGUUUCCAUAGCAACCACACAUGUGAGCCAGCUGCUGUCACCAUGGAAACAAGGGGAGCCUGCUCAGAGGCUGCACUGUCUCAGGGGAGACACAAUUUUUGACAAAAAAAAAAAAAAACACAAACAAAAACUCUUUGAUAAAACUAAAC